GAUGAACGCUAGCGGGAGGCCUAACACAUUCAAGCUGAGCGGUAUUUCUUCUUCGGAAGAGAGAGAGCGGCGUACGGGGGCGGAACACGCUUUCAACCUGCCUUUAUCUAGAGGAUAGCCCUUCGAAAGGAAGAUUAAUACUCUAUAAUAGCUUAAUUGGCAUCACUUGAUAUUGGAAACUCCGGAGGCUAGAGAUGGGCACGCUCAAGAUUAGCUAGUUGGUGAUGUACCGGCUCACCAAGGCAAUGAACUGUAGGGGGCCUGGGAGGAGUGAUCCCCCACACUGGUAGUGGGACGCGGACCAGACUCCGGCGGGAGGCAGCAAUAAGGAAUAUUGGUCAAUGGGUGCAAGCCUGAACCAGCCAUCCCGCGUGAAGGAUUAAGGUCCUAUGGAUUGUAAACUUCUUUUGUAUAGGGAUAAACCUACCCUCGUGAGGGUAGCUGAAGGUACUAUACGAAUAAGCACCGGCUAACUCCGUGCCAGCAGCCGCCGUAAUAC
rnacentral:rRNA from 1 species